AAAAAAUACUAUACCACCUUGACAACGCCCAACCUUGUUUAAUCUUGGAAGCUAAGCAGGGUUGGGCCUGGUCCUUGGAUGGAAGACGGUUGGGAAUUGGGUGC
rnacentral:rRNA from 1 species